AAUUUUUUUUUAUUAUACAGUUUGAAUUUUAGUUUUCUAUCAAAAAAAACAACGAAAAAUAAAAAUUUUAAUUUUUUCUUAAAUUUUUAAAAAUAUUUUUUUGACUUCAAACUAUUCAAACAAAAAAUUUUAUUUUUUAUACAACAUAUAAUAAAUUUUCAAUAGAUUUUACAUGGAACCAAAUGCCCCCUUGCGGGUGAGUGUGCAGGCCUACGUGGAAAGAAAAAAUUUUAAAAUGCACCAAUUAUAUUAGUGACAUGGCGGCGUUUCUAACAAAUCAAAUAAAUUUUUUUUUGCAAUUAUCCGUCAUUUUAUGAUUAUAAAAAAAUAUUCCUAUUAUAUUUUUUAAAAAAUAAAUAUUAUUAAUUUAUUAUUAAUAAUAUGAUAUAAGUAUGAUACAGUAAAUUUUCUAGGCAUUUCAGAAAAAUUUUAUUUCCAUCUUUUAUGGAAGGUGUAUAUUCUUUCA
rnacentral:lncRNA from 1 species